rnacentral:rRNA from 1 species
AUGCAUGAAGAACAGGGGCUUAUCUGCAAAACUGUCUUUCUCUCGAAAUUAGAAAAAAUUCUCAGCAGGAAAAAAAAGGCACCUCGGGCUGAAUCUGUUGGCCCAACAACAGAAAAAAAUAGAGGGGCUUCGGUGGGGUGGCCUCACCAUGGGCUUUGGCCCAGCUGGAAAGGAAGGAGGCCGGUUGCUGGGCCAGCAGCGGUGUGGCCUAGUUCGGUGGAUCUGGAGGUCGAUGGGCCACUCCAGAUCGAGGCGACUCCAGAUCGAGGCGACGCCGGGUCCAGGCGAAGUCAACGCGGGCGAGGUGUUCGCUCUCUCGAAGGAAAUAGAGGAUGCAGUGCCAGGGGCCGAGGCGAUGCAGACAAGGGUCAACGACGGCGGCACGACGCGGCAGUAGCUCCGGCGAGGUGGUGGAGGCCGGCGGAAGGGUUCGGAAAGGGGGAAGUGUCUGUUCCCAGCGGCGGAUCCCGGCUUGGCAGUACCUGUCCAUGGCAGGGAGAGACAGGGGCAUAA